AAGGAAUAUUGCUCAAUGGGAGAAAUCCUGAAGCAGCAACGCCGCGUGGAGGAUGAAGGGUCUAUGACUUGUAAACUCCUGUAAAGAAGGAAAAAAUUCCCAUUUGAUGGGAGAUGAUGGUACUUCUGGAGUAAGCCCCGGCUAACUACGUGCCAGCAGCCGCGGUAAUACGUAGGGGGCAAGCGUUGUCCGGAUUUACUGGGUGUAAAGGGUGCUCAGGCGGAUUUGUAAGUCAUAGGUGAAAUCUUACAGCUUAACUGUGAAACUGCCUUUGAUACUGCAAGCCUAGAGUAUGGAAGAGAGAGAUGGAAUAUCUGGUGUAGCAGUGAAAUGCGUAGAUAUCAGAUAGAACACCAAUGGCGAAGGCAGUCACUUGGUCCAUUACUGACGCUAAAGCACGAAAGCGUGGGUAGCAAACA
rnacentral:rRNA from 1 species